GGCUGGUUAGCUCAGUUGGUUAGAGCACAGUGUUAUAAUCACCGAGGUCAAGGGUUCGGAUCCCCAUACUGGCCA